rnacentral:rRNA from 1 species
UACGGAGGGGGCUAGCGUUGUUCGGAAUUACUGGGCGUAAAGCGCACGUAGGCGGCUUUGUAAGUUUGAGGUGAAAGCCCGGGGCUCAACUCCGGAAUUGCCUUUAAGACUGCAUCGCUAGAAUUGUGGAGAGGUAAGUGGAAUUCCGAGUGUAGAGGUGAAAUUCGUAGAUAUUCGGAAGAACACCAGUGGCGAAGGCGACUUACUGGACACAUAUUGACGCUGAGGUGCGAAAGCGUGGGGAGCAAACAGG